rnacentral:rRNA from 1 species
CUUGAACGCUGGCGGCAGGCUUAACACAUGCAAGUCGAGCGGGGGGAGGUAGCUUGCUACCGGACCUAGCGGCGGACGGGUGAGUAAUGCUUAGGAAUCUGCCUAUUAGUGGGGGACAACAUCUCGAAAGGGAUGCUAAUACCGCAUACGUCCUACGGGAGAAAGCAGGGGAUCUUCGGACCUUGCGCUAAUAGAUGAGCCUAAGUCGGAUUAGCUAGUUGGUGGGGUAAAGGCCUACCAAGGCGACGAUCUGUAGCGGGUCUGAGAGGAGGAUCCGCCACACUGGGACUGAGACACGGCCCAGACUCCUACGGGAGGCAGCAGUGGGGAAUAUUGGACAAUGGGGGGAACCCUGAUCCAGCCAUGCCGCGUGUGUGAAGAAGGCCUUAUGGUUGUAAAGCACUUUAAGCGAGGAGGAGGCUACUUUAGUUAAUACCUAGAGAUAGUGGACGUUACUCGCAGAAUAAGCACCGGCUAACUCUGUGCCAGCAGCCGCCGUAA